GGAGCUUGCUCCAGUUGAUUAGUGGCGAACGGGUGAGUAACACGUGAGCAAUCUGCCCUUGACUCUGGGAUAACUGCGGGAAACUGUAGCUAAUACCGGAUACUUUCACCGGAAGGCAUCUUCUGGUGAUGAAAGAAUUUCGGUCAGGGAUGAGCUCGCGGCCUAUCAGCUUGUUGGUGAGGUAACGGCUCACCAAGGCGACGACGGGUAGCCGGCCUGAGAGGGUGACCGGCCACACUGGGACUGAGACACGGCCCAGACUCCUACGGGAGGCAGCAGUGGGGAAUAUUGCACAAUGGGCGCAAGCCUGGUGCAGCAACGCCGCGUGAGGGAUGAAGGCCUUCGGGUUGUAAACCUCUUUUAGCAGGGAAGAAGCGAAAGUGACGGUACCUGCAGAAAAAGCACCGGCUAACUACGUGCCAGCAGCCGCGGUAAUACGUAGGGUGCAAGCGUUGUCCGGAAUUAUUGGGCGUAAAGAGCUCGUAGGCGGUUUGUCGCGUCUGCUGUGAAAAUCCAAGGCUCAACCUUGGACCUGCAGUGGGUACGGGCAGACUAGAGUGCGGUANGGGGAGAAUGGGAAUUCCUGGUGUAGCGGUGGAAUGCGCAGAUAUCAGGAGGAACACCAAUGGCGAAGGCACAUCUCUGGGCCGUAACUGACGCUGAGGAGCGAAAGCGUGGGGAGCGAACAGGAUUAGAUACCCUGGUAGUCCACGCCGUAAACGGUGGGUGCUAGUUGUGGGCCACAUUCCACGUGGUCCGUGACGAAGUUAACACAUUAAGCACCCCGCCUGGGGAGUACGGUCGCAAGACUAAAACUCAAAGGAAUUGACGGGGGCCCGCACAAGCGGNCGGAGCAUGCGGAUUAAUUCGAUGCAACGCGAAGAANCNUUACCANGGCUUGACAUAUAGAGGANCGUGCAGAAAUGUACGCCCCGC
rnacentral:rRNA from 1 species